UGAUCAGUGACCCUGGAGCUGCUGGCAUCGCCCCUGCCCAGCGCGAAGAGGGAUAUUUCAGACCAGAGAACAGGUGGACACCAGCCAUGGGAGACGGUUCAACCGGCUUGCCCACAAACAGGGGUCAGGGUGGGCCACACGUCACAUAAAUCAAUCUGACGUGUUCACCCAGGCCUGCACUGGCACAGGCCAACCCGCGGCCCAAGCCCCAUGCCCACUGAGCUACUGGCUGUGGCGCUAUUUUGAUGCAUGGUUCAGGGGUGCAUUUGGAACGGGUCGGCUGACUGAUCCAGGGCCUGGCUGGAGAGACUUCAGGUGCCUUCUGGUUCCACAGAUAUCAUGCCAGUGCUAUGAGCUCCGCUGCAGGGGAAUGGGGCGCUCUGAAAGAGAUCCUGGUGGGCAGCAGAAUGAAUGUGCAAUGGCAUGUGCAGUUCAGGACGUCAGUCAUCUCAUGUAAGUAAUUCAGAUACCAGAGAUAUUUCUUUAUGACAUUUAUGUAUUAGUAUUUCUCAAAUUAAACAAGGGACAAUGAUUUAGAAUAAUAAUCUUACAUUCUAUAAAUUAAAGGAGUUGAAAUUUUAUGCUCAGUGUAUUUUGCAUCAACGACAGGUUGCCACAUAUUUCAUAUGUUGAUAAAUGUAUACAAUUGAGCAUAAAAUGAAAUAAUGUAUUGUUUAAUUAAUUCUAAUAAGAAUAUUUUUGUGAUUAACGCUUUACACACAUACACAAAUAUGUUAUUGGUUUGAUAAUACAGUAGAUUAAUAUUUAAAAUGUACAGAAAAGUCUAUAACAUUAUUAUUUUAUUAUCAUGACAGAUACUAUUAUAGUUUUUAUUAAUAUUUUGAAUCAGUUUUUACUUUUAUAUUUUCUGAUUUUAUUUUAGUUUAUUUUUAUUACUUUUGUUGUGAGUUUUUGUAAUUCUUGUAGUUUUUUAUUGGUCUAUAUAGUCUUCUUUAUUAAUAUUUGUUUCAGUUUUAGUUAGUUUAGUAGAUCAAGUCAAGCUAAAUUAAAAAGAGAAAAGUUAUUUGGCACCUAACAGAAUUAUCAUUAUUUCAGUUAACAUUUAAAAUGUUUUUUAAUGGUUUUAUUUUGAAUUUCAGUUUUAGUUUUAGUUAAUUAUAAUAAUCCUGGUGUAUAAUAUGCUAUUUAAUGGCCAUUUCCAUUGUGACAACUUGCCCCGGUACAUAUACACAGAAGUUUAAUCUUGAGAAAUAUUCACUGGCUUAAAAAAAAAAAAAAAAGUGUAUGACUAGCUCUGGUCUCCCAUAUUGUAUUUUCCCCACUCUUCUAUUUUCAAAUCAUUAACAUUAGCCAUGACAUCUUAAAUGCGGCUUAGAUAUUUUCUAGAUGUUCCUUACUUGGUCCAGCAUGUGUUUUUAAAUUAUGUGUUUUUGUGAGUUGUAAGUGUGAAUGUGAUUCUAACCAUCUCAGACAGUCACACAAUCUAUUCAAUGCCAUUACAAAACAAUAACAGAAUAAAACUGUAUCUCCAAAGGAAAAAGGAAACA
ensembl:lncRNA